CAACCGCAGCCCCGCACGUACGUAGGGAACUAGCGCAUCCUCCUGCCCUCCUCCCAAAACUUCGCUUAUCCCGAAUCGCCUCCUCCCAAAAUCACGACACAGAUCGACCCUUGCCCUCCCAGGACCGCAAGUCUCGCGUCCGUAACCUGUACCUUCCAUGGCCGCUUGAUUUCCUGUCUCCUGGGCAUCCUACAUGAGGUCCGAUGCCUCGCUACAUGAGGUCCUCUGUCCGCCACACCGGCAGCGGCGGCCGGUCAAUUUCCGCAGAAGAAGUUGGAUGCUGCAAGCCGUAACAAGUGGCUGGACGAAUUCUGCAUCGAACACUGCUGCUUGCCUGCGACCAAGAUGUGCUGCAAGUCAACCAUUGGUGACAGUUGAAGAAUAAGCAAUCAAGCUUGAAGUUUAGAUGAUGGGAGAUUAGCAGAUGGCAGCGGCGAGGUUGUACUUAUCCUGUUCGAAAAGCUUCUUGCUGAUUGCCUGCUUCUUUUUAUCAAACUUAAGUGUUAAGUCAGACUUAUCAGUGUAUCAUGUGUGCUAAACUUAAUUUUUGAGUCGAAUCUGCUAUGUUUACUGUCAUUCUUGUCUA